rnacentral:lncRNA from 1 species
CUCGACCCUAAACGUGGGAGUGACCUCAUGACUCCGGCCCUUCAGUGACCACCAACAAACUGUUCCUGCCUAUCCAGGAAGUCAUCUUAGCCCAGAGGAGGUCAGCAGGUGGAGUGGGAUCGCCUAGGAGACAGCUGCAGUGACAUCAUGCACUGCGCACGCAGGUGUACUCACGAGAGGUCAGAGCGUGGUGGAUUACGGCUGUGUGCUUUCAGUCUUUCGUUUUGCAGAGACCCGGGCUACACCCUCACAGCCAGUGCCACGAAGCUGCAAUCACUCUUACUAUGUGCAGUGCAUUCCAGUGUUUUCUAUUCUAAUCCUGUUUCAUUUGUUUUUCUAAAAAUGCUGUUUGCAACCCUCUCCAUUGAUUUCCUGUCUCCUGAAUGUUUUUAAUGGCAGUUUGAACAGCGCUGGAUUGGAGAGAGGGAGACAGGAGGCAGCCUGGGCGGAGGGUGCUGUCACUGUCCAGCCAGAAGCAGCAGGGGCAUGGGGCGCCGGGCCCCCGGGGCAGACAGCAUGAAGGUGCCAUUAUGGUGGGCGUCGGCCCCCGGGGCUGUGCUCGGUGCCUCCAAUCUGACAUGG